GCUAAGUUUUACUGGUUAUUUACAGACCACUGUCGAUUUGUUAACUGUUGAGUGCAACUCGUUUGUUUUGGUUUUUUGACGUUCCGUCGUGUCGGGUGCGCUCUGCACCACGAGUCUAAAACAAGCAAAUUCUAGUCCUAUAGCCCCUCACAGUUACCUUCCACAAGACUCAUUGAUCCUUCAACAGACUGGCCCCUGCUUCAAUGAUGACGACUUCUCAGCAGACACCACAAACAGUUUGGGCUCUGAGCCGAAAGAGUUCCAAAUAAUGGGCAUCACAUCAGCCCACAAAUACCAGUGCUGCCCAAACUCAGAAUGUCGCAACAAAAAGUUAGAAAAUGACAGUUGUCCGACAUGCAAAGGCAAGUCCUUAACAAGACAAACCUACUUCAGUGCCGCACAAGUAGUGCUAAAAAGAAGUGAUGGAUCCUAUGAAAUGAGAAAAAUGUUCCACACUGACCUAAAGCUGAUAUGUGAAAUGCCAGACUUAAACACAGAUGGGAGAAGAUCCAGCCCUAUACCAAUUUUUAACAGGAUUGCUACCAAUCAAUGCCCGUGGCCUCUUUCUCAAUGGAAAAAUAACCAUCAUGUCUACAAAACGUCAACACGAUCGUUGAACAGAUCUACUAUACUUGGAGCUUUAACCUUUACUAGUGUUCAUAGGACAGUUCUUACAAGACAAUCAUUCUUAAGUCAACCAAGUCACUCUCAAAAACAAACAUUUCAUGCUUAGGGAAUAACAAAACAGUCUCACACUAAAUUACAGCUCAUUUGUGAAUUGCCUGACUUACAAGAUAAGGCAAAAUAUCCAGCCCUGAACUUGUUCUUCACAGCAUUGUAAAUUAUCAAUGGUUGUGAACUCUUCCAUAACACAUAAAUUACUAACAUUCUGACCAAACAUCAUCAUCAUAGUUCUCAUAACAUUGCCAGAACCCAUCAUUCUUAUCUUUUUAUUAACAAUACAAAACUUUAACAUUAUUGCCAUUUCCGGAUCUUAUUGCCUACUUGUAAUCAUGUUAUGUAACUGAAAUAUCAUAUGCUUUCAUUUCUCAUGUUCACUUAGCUUCAAAACAAAGAUAAACAAAGAUAAUUUCAACUUCAUCUCCCUUCUUCUGUUAUAUUUCUCUAUUACAUAAUGUCCAUUAUAGUGCAACAUCAUCUGGUUUCCUUAUUUGCUAUUACUACAUUAUUAUGUUAUUUUUGGCUUAAGCAUGAACACUUCAGUCAUUUAAAUAAUGGUUUACAUUGCAU